GAUGAAGAACGUAGCAAAAUGCGAUAAGUAAUGUGAAUUGCAGAAUUCAGUGAAUCAUCGAAUCUUUGAACGCACAUUGCGCCCGCUGGUAUUCCGGCGGGCAUGCCUGUUCGAGCGUCAUUUCAACCCUCAAGCCCCCGGGUUUGGUGUUGGGGAUCGGCUCUGCCUUCUGGCGGUGCCGCCCCCGAAAUACAUUGGCGGUCUCGCUGCAGCCUCCAUUGCGUAGUAGCUAACCCCUCGCAACUGGAACGCGGCGCGGCCAUGCCGUAAAACCCCAACUUCUGAAUGUUGACCUCGGAUCAGGUAGGAAUACCCGCUGAACUUAAGCAUAUCAAUAAGCGGAGGA
rnacentral:misc_RNA from 1 species